UACGUAGGGGGCUAGCGUUGUCCGGAUUUAUUGGGCGUAAAGAGCGUGUAGGCGGCCAGGUAGGUCUGCUGUGAAAACUCGAGGCUCAGCCUCGAGACGUCGGCGGAAACCAUCUGGCUAGAGUCCGGAAGAGGAGAGUGGAAUUCCUGGUGUAGCGGUGAAAUGCGCAGAUAUCUGGAGGAACACCGGUGGCGAAGGCGGCAUCCUGGACCAACACUGACGCUGAGGAGCGAAAGCCAGGGGAGCAAACGGG
rnacentral:rRNA from 1 species